AGGACGAACGCUGGCGGCGUGCCUAACACAUGCAAGUCGAACGCGCUCCAUUCGGUAGCAAUACUGAUGAAGAGCGAGUGGCGAACGGGUGAGUAGCACGUGAGCAACCUGCCCCGAAGACUGGGACAACACCGGGAAACCGGUGCUAAUACCGGAUAUCCCUAUCGGAUCGCAUGAUCUGAUAAGGAAAUGUUUUUCGCUUCGGGAGGGGCUCGCGGCCUAUCAGCUAGUUGGUGGGGUAAUGGCCUACCAAGGCAUCGACGGGUAGCUGGUCUGAGAGGACGAUCAGCCACACUGGGACUGAGCACGGCCCAGACUCCUACGGGAGGCAGCGAGUGGGGAAUCUUGCGCAAUGGGCGAAAGCCUGACGCAGCAACGCCGCGUGGAGGACGAAGGCUUUCUGAGUUGUAAACUCCUUUCAGCAGGGACGAUUGGUGACGGUACCUGCAGAAGAGCACGGCCAACUACGUGCCAGCAGCCG
rnacentral:rRNA from 1 species